rnacentral:sRNA from 1 species
AUGGUAAAAUAAGAUUAUGAGAGUGAGAAAAGAACCUUGGACAACGGGAUUGAGAUUCCUAAAGAAGAACAUGUUGUUGCCAUGUGAAGCAGAUGGAUUGAAGAAAAACGAAUUGGAUUCCAUUUUGGAAUUUAGGGAUUUUGAAAUCAAUUUGGGAAUAUUGAUUCUUUUUUUUCAAUGAAACGACGUCGUUUUGAGUAUUAACGGAAAUUAAUUAACGUGUGUUAACGGAACUAACAUAUCCAUUAAUGAAAGAUAACGGCAUGGGGAUUUUGGCCUGGUCAACAAUAACAUUUGUGUGAAAUGAUCGGUCAACGUUUUUAUUAUGUUUUAUUUAGCCACACAAAAAGUUCACGUAUUAAAUGACCACUUUUUGAAAGUUCGCGUAUAAAACGACAUUUUUCCUCUUCUUAAAAUCAUUUUACUUCAUGAUCCGGUUAUUGGUUCUACUCACGCAUCUUUU